rnacentral:rRNA from 1 species
GACGAGCGCUGGCGGCGUGCCUAAUACAUGCAAGUAGAACGCUGAAGAGAGGAGCUUGCUCUUCUUGGAUGAGUUGCGAACGGGUGAGUAACGCGUAGGUAACCUGCCUUGUAGCGGGGGAUAACUAUUGGAAACGAUAGCUAAUACCGCAUAACAAUGGAUGACACAUGUCAUUUAUUUGAAAGGGGCAAUUGUUCCACUACAAGAUGGACCUGCGUUGUAUUAGCUAGUAGGUGAGGUAAUGGCUCACCUAGGCGACGAUACAUAGCCGACCUGAGAGGGUGAUCGGCCACACUGGGACUGAGACACGGCCCAGACUCCUACGGGAGGCAGCAGUAGGGAAUCUUCGGCAAUGGGGGCAACCCUGACCGAGCAACGCCGCGUGAGUGAAGAAGGUUUUCGGAUCGUAAAGCUCUGUUGUAAGUCAAGAACGGGUGUGAGAGUGGAAAGUUCACACUGUGACGGUAGCUUACCAGAAAGGGACGGCUAACUACGUG